rnacentral:lncRNA from 1 species
AUCAAUUAUAAGUUUUUUUGUCCCUUUUGAAUUUCACGUUCUUAAUUUACGUUUACUGCUAACGCUAGCAAUAUUAAAAGAGACAAUAAAUUUUGUUCUACAAAGUGUAAGACGAAACAAAAUCCAGAAAAAAAACAUUUUAGGAAAUACAUGCAUGAUAAAUACAACACUUCGGAAACAUUUCGAAACCAUAAUUUUACUGGCUUUCGCGGACUGUGUUUCGUCUUGUAAAAUAUUAAAUUGUCUGGGAGGCGUCAGAAUAUCAGAGGUGUGGGACGAAUAAAAGCUAAACGCAGACAAGACUAGUAUACUUUUGAAAUGCUAAAGUUUUGGUCGAACGUUGAUAUAUGCUCAAAUCUCAUCCUCGAUGAUUACAACGAUUAUCUAAGAAUGCUAUAAAAAUUUUGUUCUUACAAGAUAUCUUCAAGCGCCUCCUGUCACUUCUAACAGCUCUCAUACUUUAUUGUGGUAGUAUAUUCAUUAUAUGAGGAAGACAUCAAUAAAGAUGGUAGAAAAUUAAAUGAUGAUGUAGUACCACUAGCUCACUGUUAAUUUUAAAGAGGUCAUUUAACUUCAGUGGUAUUAUUUUGUACCUCAUUGAACUCCACAGCAAACGAACCCCACUUGAAAUUAACAAUGAGUACAUGCUUCUAAAAUGUAGAGUUAUACGUAUAGAAAGAACAAGUUUCGUUCAUAAUGUUCUUAGUUAUCUAUCUUUAUCAACACUCUGACCAACGUUUUGGUGUACUUCCCUUCGUGUGGUGCCAGCAACACCCCAAUUGUACCACAUGGAUAUGUACAUACAGUCAUAUAGUCACUAUGUCAAUGAUUAUUUCAAUCUGGGCCGAUCAUCCCAAAUAUUUUGAAACGUUCUCAUGACCACUAGGGAUUCUUUAGACGGUUUCGUUAUUACAAGGACGUCCUUUCGAAACUUUCAAUAAGCAGCAGGUUGGUAUAAAGCUAGGUUGGUACUCCCUGAAUAAGAGUUUUAUUUCCAGCAUUUCAAACCAGUGUAAAUUAUCUACCGUUACAAAACUGUAUAAUCGCUACUUUAGUUCUUUCAGUAAAGAAAAUAUUUGUAUCUUGGUGGUUAUAAACUUGUAAAUCAGGGCCAACACAAGGUGCUCGUGGUAUGUGUUUUUUUAAUUUCUCCAACCAAUAUAACAGUUAUUUGCAUUUAGUCUUUCAAUCCUCGACUAAUCUCCCACUGGUCCUGGAGCGUACAAAAUUUUGUAGAGUCGCAUCACCCGACCCUUUGCCUUUGUAAUGUUUAAUAUAUUAGCUUUUAUGGCAUAACGAAAAGGGCACGACGUAGUUUAUAAACUCCGCUGGAAAUGAUCAAGUAAAUUGGUGUGUAGAUCUUGAAGGUAUACAGAUUUUUUCGGUAAACAUGACGUUAUUGCUUUACGGACUUUUAGCUUUCGUAAUGUAUUUUAGCCAUUAAUUUACUUUCUCAUAUCUCUCUUCAGUUAGGAUAUAUAUACGAGUGAAGAACACAUCUUGUUCCUUGUCACGCCUAAGGAACUAGGACCAAGGUUGACAUUUUGUUCGUAGUAUUUCUUUUUAAUUAAGAGUUUUACUCUCCAUCAAUCUUCCAUCACGUCGCAGAAUCGUCGUUGACUUUCGACCGUUAUUUUUCACAAAUACAGGAGAAAAUACUGAACAGUAUCACAAGCUAAACUAUGUUUUCUACGUUAGAAGUUCAUAUGCGUCCUGUUUCCAUUUCAAGAUUGUGUUCUAGUUAGUGAUCCGGUGAAUUAAGAAAUUGAUCUUUUUCCGCAAGGUAUUGAGAUGUUGCACGUAUGUGUAUGAUAAGUACACAUUUCUUUGCCAGAUGUUCGCACAAUAAAACCAUGGUAUUGUCAUUGGUAAACGCUUGUAUGGUACAUCAGGGAUAUAGAAUGGUCUUUCGAUCAUGUUCUUCAUCAAAGGCACAAACAAAUAAAAUACACAUAUGUUGUUCUUUCAUCAACCCAAGACCGCAACACGAGGCUGAUGUUUUGUUUUUGCCAAACGCUUGCUUCAUACCAUUUGCUAUGAUUGCAUACUAUUUUUACAAAUACAGAACUAAAUACUGCAUGGGCUGUGUCACACACUUAAAUAUGCGUAUUCGUAUAAAAGUUGAAAAGCAUCCUGUUUAAUUCUUUCUCUCGAUUAAAAUCUAUACAAACUUGGCAAAAAUACGUUCAUUUAACUGAAAACCUUCCUACAAUUAGC